UCUUUCUCACGCACUCAACUUUUCACCCACAAAUACUCUCUAACAUUAUAAAUCCAUCUCACACACACAGCCACACUGUCUCUCAUAUCUCAAACCCACUAUUGUAGAUGGCCAAACGCCGAAGACAAGGUUAUAGGGGUUAUCACAAUUGUCGUUUUGAACACGUUGUUUGGUCUUAGCACAAAUCUAUGGAUGGAAAUAAUGUCACGCCUUUCUAGACCAGUGUUUCCCAAACUGGGGGUCAUUUGGGAUCAAACCUUGGUGUUGUGGAACUCAUUCAAGAGAGGGGAGAAUACGGUGGAGUCUACAUCACUGUCGAGGGUAUAAAGAAACCUACUCUACAUGAAAGAGUAAUUAAAAUCUCUAAAUGCAAACAUAGUUUUGUUGCUGGUGAAGGCUUGGCAGGUCUUGUAUCUACUUAUGGUUUGAACUUGAAUGUGCUUCACGCUUGGGUUAUAUGGAUAUGGAGUCUUUGUAAUGUCGAGAACAAAAUGAUAUUAUUUUCUUCGUCCUUAAAGUUGGUGUUAGGAUUCUUGAGAAGAUCAUCCCAAAGUUAUUUCCAAAAAUGAUUUUACAUUAAUUUACCAUGUGUACCUUUACUCCGAAUUUAGGAAAUCAAAGAAUUUUGUAUAAAAUGA